CGGUCCAGACUCCUACGGGAGGCAGCAGUGGGGAAUAUUGCACAAUGGGGGAAACCCUGAUGCAGCCAUGCCGCGUGUGUGAAGAAGGCCUUCGGGUUGUAAAGCACUUUCAGCGAGGAGGAAAGGUCAGUAGCUAAUAUCUGCUGACUGUGACGUUACUCGCAGAAGAAGCACCGGCUAACUCCGUGCCAGCAGCCGCGGUAAUACGGAGGGUGCAAGCGUUAAUCGGAAUUACUGGGCGUAAAGCGCACGCAGGCGGUUGGAUAAGUUAGAUGUGAAAGCCCCGGGCUCAA
rnacentral:rRNA from 1 species